GUCAGCGCUGAGAUCUCAUGACUCAGUGUCAUGAGGGAGGCUUCUCCUUCCUGUGAGCAGCAAUCAGCUCCCCAGCAAAUCUCCCUGGGCUCCUGCAUAUGUGAGGACACCUCCUUUCUUUGUUGCUGGCUUCAGGAAUGCAGCAAUCAGACGUGCACCAAAAAUAAUUGUAUUCAGACGAAGAGAGCGAGGCUUCUCUGAGUGCUGCUGACUGUUGUCUGGGACAGAAUGCCUCCUGCCGCGUGCUGCAUGUACUUCACGUCACAGAAGAAAACUCCAGACCAUGGGAGCUGCCUGGAUGUGGCACGGGAAGGAUGAAGGACUUGGAGUUCAGCCCACAUGCUCAGCCUGAGGACAUGGUGUGAGUGGAGACCCAAUAGCAGCUGCAACCUCAAGUCCUCUGCUAGGGAGAAGCCAACGAGCCAGCUGAGCACUGCUGAGCUUUCAUCUGCAAGCACACCUGGGGCUCUGUUGGGUUUAGCUGUGAUACCACUAGAUGCUAUUGCUGCAAAUGCUCUUUUCACCUUGCUGCCCAGCAGCAAGAACAAUGCAAGUUUAUAGGGCUGUGCUAGCCAUGGGGCUGGGAGGUACCCUCUCUGCCGUCCCUAAAGGGGUGCUGUUAACCUGUCAGAGCUCAACAAAAAACAAGGAACAUCUACCCUGCCCUUAGAGCUGCUAAGCUCGUUAUAGGAUCUACGGGAGUUGCUGAAUUAGAGCUGCCUGUUUGUUUGGGAUCAAUGCCUUCCCAGCUGUGGCAGCAGAAAGAUCUGCAUUAGGCGUCCACAUAUGGAUCUGGGCUUUGGGACAGGAUCUGCUUAAAGCCAGCUGGGUUAAGCUGCAGUCGUGCCCUGACGGGCCGCGUGGCACUUCACACUGCUAACAUCCCAACAGAGCAAUCUGUGAGGUUCAUUGCUUCGCCAGGUAUUUCCACAGAGCUCUCAUUCUCGGGACUCGUUCUUAUUCUCCAGUCAUCAUGAAUGAGGACAAAUUCCAUCUGAAUGAGUAGCCUAAAAUCAUAUUAAGGAUCUGGACAAAUUAGCAAAAUCACAGAAGCAGGGCUUCUUUGCAAACACUGAUUCACAUGCACUCAAAUCCGUGUUUGAUUUCACUGUCAGAAAAACUAACCUACAGAAUGUCCUAACAAUGAAAAUGCACUGCUGCAAAGCUGAAGCAAGGCAUGCAGUAUGUGUAAAUCUAUCCUAAAACAUUUUCUUCUCCUUAUUCCACAGCUAGAUAUUACAGUUGUGUGUGUCUGAACUUAUAUUUGAUUGUCAUCACUAAACGCUAAGAGCGUGAUCCAGAUGUGAUCCUGGUUGCAAACGGAUGUUAGCCUUAAAUCCCCGAGGGUAUCUUGUUAUACAGUUGCUUGGUAUUAUGUUCAGAGUUUAUUGAAAACGUCUAGGUCCUUUUAUUUUAUUUUAUUUUUUUUUUUUCUCGGAAAUGCUGGUCACUGUACAGCCUUGCCAUCACAUUGAUUUACUCGUAGGAGUGGGUACUCAAGAAAAGGCUUGCUAACUCUGUCCAUAUUAUGAAUACUGAAGAGAAAAAAAAAAUAAGAAAGAAAAAAGCACAUUUGGAUUACUCCCACAUACUUUGCCAAUUCUGUGUUAAAGCUUUAAUUCCUUACACAUGUAUUAUGUCCAGCAGUGACAAUAAAUGUAAGAAAUGAUUACAGAGAGUAAAAACCACCCUUAUGUGUAACGGACCGCAGCACUUCUUACUCGUAGCCAUCUGAUCGGGAUGUAAAAUAGAGUGGUUUGGUGCCUUGAAAUUCAUUCGGCUGGGACCUUUUAGAAGACACCAGUAACAGCAGCGGGAAGAUGCAUUGCAGCCACCCGUUACAACAAUCUUUGGGGACAACCGGCUGUCUAAUUGCGCUUUUCAUUAUUUGAAAAUACGGGUGUCCAUUAACAAUUAGUUGCAAAUGCAAUGCGGCCGGCAAUAACGGCGGUACAAAGCAGCAUUUUCCUAAAAGAAUCGAAAAGAGUGAAUUAUUUGCACAGCCUCUUCGCUCCUGGAGGCUUAAGGGAAAGGGGAUGAACACCUCGGGCGUUACGUGCACGGAGUGGAAAUCGCGGCACAUUCAUGUAUUUAUUUAUAUUUAGCAUCCCCACCCUGCCUGCAGGGCGCCUGCCUCCCGGGGCAGGAGGCACCGGCCUCCCUUUUAGGGCGACGAGGAGCGAGGCUAUUUGUUAAUGGGCUGCCUAAUUACCCCGAGCCGCUAACUGCAGCCUGCCGCCCUCUGAUGUGGUGCCUUGAAUUUGUUGGCGUCGGGCUUGUUGGUGCUGUUGUUGUUUUUUUUUUUCCUGCAGGAUUUUAAUUUCCAGAACUGGUCGGACCCGCUCUGGGAGAUAUUCUAACGUUUUCUAAUGAACCGUCAGCCCGAGCAGGAGCAAACCCCAAAAUUUUGACAUUAUCCGCGGAAGAACAAUCUGAGAAUUGUAGUUUUGGAAGCAAAACCCCGCAAAACGGAGCCAGUGUCGCCAGGUGGAUGGAUGUAUGGAUGGACAGACAGAUGGACGGAUGGAUUUGGUCCCACGGCAAACAUCGCACUGGGAGCUUUUGCCCGAUCCUGCUGCUUUGUGGCGUUUCUUAGCAAAGACCAAAAAUAAAAAUAAAAAUAAAAAUAAAAAAAGGAGCGCAGCGAUGCGCGGCGGGCUCGUUUGGAAGCACAAAACGAUAUUUUCUUAGCGGCGUGGGAUAAUGCCCUGGGAAUAUGUCUAAUUUUUAUUUGAAAAUUGUCUGAUUUUUGUUUUUUAAAGUAAAAAAAAAAAA